UGAGAAUCACAGUAAAAGCAUGGAAGA
rnacentral:piRNA from 1 species